rnacentral:rRNA from 1 species
GACGAACCCUUGCGGCUGUGCUUAACACAUGCAAGUCGAACGGAAAGGCCCUGCUUUUGUGGGGUGCUCGAGUGGCGAACGGGUGAGUAACACGUGAGUAACCUGCCCUUGACUUUGGGAUAACUUCAGGAAACUGGGGCUAAUACCGGAUAGGAGCUCCUGCUGCAUGGUGGGGGUUGGAAAGUUUCGGCGGUUGGGGAUGGACUCGCGGCUUAUCAGCUUGUUGGUGGGGUAGUGGCUUACCAAGGCUUUGACGGGUAGCCGGCCUGAGAGGGUGACCGGCCACAUUGGGACUGAGAUACGGCCCAGACUCCUACGGGAGGCAGCAGUGGGGAAUAUUGCACAAUGGGCGGAAGCCUGAUGCAACAACGCCGCGUGCGGGAUGACGGCCUUCGGGUUGUAAACCGCUUUCGCCUGUGACGAAGCGUGAGUGACGGUAAUGGGUAAAGAAGCACCGGCUAACUACGUGCCAGCAGCCGCGGUGAUACGUAGGGUGCGAGCGUUGUCCGGAUUUAUUGGGCGUAAAGGGCUCGUAGGUGGUUGAUCGCGUCGGAAGUGUAAUCUUGGGGCUUAACCCUGAGCGUGCUUUCGAUACGGGUUGACUUGAGGAAGGUAGGGGAGAAUGGAAUUCCUGGUGGAGCGGUGGAAUGCGCAGAUAUCAGGAGGAACACCAGUGGCGAAGGCGGUUCUCUGGGCCUUUCCUGACGCUGAGGAGCGAAAGCGUGGGGAGCGAACAGGCUUAGAUACCCUGGUAGUCCACGCUGUAAACGGUGGGUACUAGGUGUGGGGUCCAUUCCACGGGUUCCGUGCCGUAGCUAACGCUUUAAGUACCCCGCCUGGGGAGUACGGCCGCAAGGCUAAAACUCAAAGGAAUUGACGGGGCCCCGCACAAGCGGCGGAGCAUGCGGAUUAAUUCGAUGCAACGCGUAGAACCUUACCUGGGUUUGACAUGGAUCGGGAGUGCUCAGAGAUGGGUGUGCCUCUUUUGGGGUCGGUUCACAGGUGGUGCAUGCCUGUCGUCAGCUCGUGUCGUGAGAUGUUGGGUUAAGUCCCGCAACGAGCGCAACCCUUGUUCACUGUUGCCAGCACGUUAUGGUGGGGACUCAGUGGAGACCGCCGGGGUCAACUCGGAGGAAGGUGGGGAUGACGUCAAGUCAUCAUGCCCCUUAUGUCCAGGGCUUCACGCAUGCUACAAUGGCUGGUACAGAGAGUGGCGAGCCUGUGAGGGUGAGCGAAUCUCGGAAAGCCGGUCUCAGUUCGGAUUGGGGUCUGCAACUCGACCUCAUGAAGUCGGAGUCGCUAGUAAUCGCAAAUCAGCAACGCUGCGGUGAAUCCGUUCCCGGGGCU